rnacentral:rRNA from 1 species
UAGGGAAUAUUGGACAAUGGGGGGAACCCUGAUCCAGCCAUGCCGCGUGGAGGAAGACUGCCCUCUGGGUUGUAAACUCCUUUUAUAUGGGAAGAACCGUCCUCAUUGAUGAGUGACCUGACGGUACCAUAGGAAUAAGCACCGGCUAACUCCGUGCCAGCAGCCGCGGUAAUACGGAGGGUGCAAGCGUUAUCCGGAUUCACUGGGGUUAAAGGGUGCGUAGGCGGAUAUGUAAGUCAGUGGUGAAAUCAACGGGCUCAACCUGUUAACUGCCAUUGAUACUGUGUAUCUUGAAUAUGAGAGAGGUAGGCGGAAUGUUGCAUGUAGCGGUGAAAUGCUUAGAUAUGCUACGGAACACCGAUUGCGAAGGCAGCUUACUAUUUCGUAAUUGACGCUGAGGCACGAAAGCGUGGGUAGCGAAC